rnacentral:misc_RNA from 1 species
UUGAAGUCUGCAAUCGCU